GAAACAGUAUGCUGAUUUGGACAUGGUUGGGUGGAGCUGUGAAAAGCAGACAGCUUUUGUUUUUAAAGUUUUUUGAUAUAACCUAUAGAUUGUGAGAUGUCACACAAAAGAGAUGCUGCCACAUGUACUACCAAUUGGGCUAUUCAAGUAAUAAUAAUAAAAGGAAGAAUUAGACAGAUGGCAUCUGUAUACAUCCAUGGCAGUCAUAAAAGGCUGAAACAAGUUGGGAAACUCUUGUUCUUGAGUAUGGCUUCAUACCAAACCGUGAUGGUGAAAGACUUGUCAGAUCUACAGUUCAAGUACUACCACUGAAUAUCUGAAUUGGCCUUAAAUCUGCAUAAUACUAUUCUUUGCUGC
rnacentral:lncRNA from 1 species